UGGUGGAGUGAUUUGUCUGGUUAAUUCCGUUAACGAACGAGACCUCAGCCUGCUAAAUAGUAACAUGCGCUCCGGCGCAUGGCGUACUUCUUAGAGGGACUAUUGGCGACUAGCCAAUGGAAGCAUGAGGCAAUAACA
rnacentral:rRNA from 1 species